GACAGAGGAUGCAAGCGUUAUCCGGAAUGAUUGGGCGUAAAGCGUCUGUAGGUGGCUUUUCAAGUCCGCCGUCAAAUCCCAGGGCUCAACCCUGGACAGGCGGUGGAAACUACCAAACUGGAGUACGGUAGGGGCAGAGGGAAUUUCCGGUGGAGCGGUGAAAUGCGUAGAGAUCGGAAAGAACACCAAUGGCGAAAGCAUUUUGCUGGGCCGACACUGACACUGAGAGACGAAAGCUAGGGGAGCAAAUGGG
rnacentral:rRNA from 1 species